UUUUUUUUUUUUUUUUGUAGUUGGUGUCUUCCCUGAGAAAAGGCAAGUUGAACUGUCUUUCGAGUUGGGCCUUAGGACAAGCUGUGUAGGCAGUCACUAUUGUGGUAUACAAUCUGAGCAGUAUCAAAAUACUCUUGUCCCAGAAUAUUUCCUGGGAUCCAUCCCUUCCUGGUGACACACUCCUCUUUGAGGCUAGACAUGGAAAGGUUUUGAAUAUUUGUACUGGUCUUUGGAGUACAUUCCCUUAGUGCUUGCUUGCUUCACUGUGGUUUCUGGGUGUGGCCCCUUCCAGCAGAAGAACGAAUCAUUGUUCUGGAAGCACCCAGAUGAACUUGGAGCUUCUCUGUUCACCUGACUUUUGACUUCUAGGCAAAAAGCCUCUUGUUUACCUUAGUGAGCGGUACACUCUAGUUCCUCUCAGUGCUUUGUCUUCCUGUUGUCUUCCCUCAGUUUAUCUCACUCUUUCAGUUAGUUACUUGCUGGCCUCCUACAGGCAUUUGGGUUAGCACUCUCUGCAUUGUAUCCCUGACUUCUAAAUCUGUUCUUUAGGACAGCCAUGCUUUCCAUAUGAUGGUUGCUGCCAUUCAUAAAAUAAUAUUUAGACCCUAACUGGUCAUACUGAAAGUGAGAUAAUCAACUGUUAUGCUCAUAAUUGAGCUUAACAGGAAGAGUAUCAUUUUUUUAUUGUUUUUCUUUUGUUGAAGAAACAGUUAAGAUAAAGAUGAGGCUACAGUUGGCAACUGUACGUAAAUAUUAUGUGGUUUCCGUACUCUGUUAGGUGAAGCCAAAACCGCAAAUAGAAAUAAACAAAACAGGUUGUGAGAAGAUGGAACUUUAUAGGGUUCUUGGUCAGGAAGUCUGGGGAAAUCAUGUUGGUGGCACCCUGGACCUUCUUUUGGUGGCUGUAAUUCCCCCAGCCCUGUUCCUGAGCCAGAGAGCAUCUUGAAUUGAUGCCUGGCAGCUCCUUUUCACCCCCUUUUCCAACAAAGAAGGUAAAGAAGAGGAUUGGUGGAGGAGCAUAUAUGCUGGUUUCCUUUUUCUUUUCAAGGUCUCUAAAGAAUCCUAAAAGGUGUGAAACCCAAAUCACUUUACUCUCCUUUUAAGAAUGGCCUACUGUGAGAAAAAAAAUUAUGGGUCAAUAUUCCACUGUUUAUUUAAGUUAAAUAAUUACUCUUGAAAGUUCCCAUUGUGGCUCAGUGCUAAUGGACCAACUAGUAUCCAUGAGGAUGUGGGUUCCAUCUCUGGUCUCACUCAGUGCUAAUGAACCAACUAGUAUCCAUGAAGAUGUGGAUUCCAUCCCUAGCCUCGCUGUGAGCUAUGUUGUAGGUUACAGAUGUGGCCCUGGUCUGGUGUUGCUAUGGCUGUGGUGUAGACUUGCAGCUGUAGCUCUGGUUCCACCCCUAGCCUGGGAACUUCUAUAUGCCAUGGGUGUAGCCCUAAAAAAAAAAAAAGCAAAAAAAUAAAUUUCUCUUGGCAUUUAAGGAGAAUAAUUAAAACAGUUUUAAAUGGGCAUAUGGGUUAAAGAGAUGCUUUUGCUAUGAAAAUGGACAAAAUGAUUUAAUACUUUGAAAAAAAUCACAUUGUGACCUCAUUCUAGUACAUACCAUCAGUAAAUUAAGUUUGAGAUGUGUUCUAUUUAUGACUGAUUUGCUUAUGAAGGACACAAGAGCUUUGUGUCCUUGAAGGAGAUUCAGUUUUUUUGGUUUGUUUCUUUGCAGUUAAACCAGAAGGGUGAGCACAGGGAGUAAAAUGACAGUUGUGUGUGGUUAGAUCAUUUACUUUUCAGUGCCUUGUUCUUGCACAUGACAUUUAUAAAUUAUAUGAAGAAGGCAAUAUUUAGACAGAUCAUUGGAAGACAGAUCAGCAUGUCCAUAGGAAAGUUUGCUUCUGGCAACUUUGUAACUUGGCCAAAGAAAAGGUUACUGGAUUUUAGGCAUUUGGGGGAUGAGGAAGUGGCUUCUGUGGUCACCAGCAUGGGCACAAUUUUGAUGGGUAAGGGUAGUGAUGUUGUUUGGCUUCCAGAAAGUCUGGAAAGGAAAGGGCAAUAUAUUGGGAGAAAAGAGGAUGGAGACAGUCUUUUCUGUUUUUCCUGCUUUCAGUUUGAAAGGAAAUUGAGUAUCUGCUGGGGAGCCCACAUAUCUUAUUUGGGGGCAGUGAUGGUGAUAGAAAAGAAUGGUUGGCAUUAGGAGUGGGGAGCCUUGGGCCGAGAAAGUGCUCCAGACAGUACUAGCAGUGUCUCAGCAUUUCCUUUUGGCAAACCCUGGCAUUGCCACAAAAACAUUAUGCCACAAAACCUUGAGAAUACUCAGCUAUGUCAAUAUAUUUUUUUUAUAGUUAGUUUUAUAGUUUUUAAAAUUAAAUUAUUUUAUUCUUUGAAUUAUAAAUGUGAAAGUACAGAAAAAAGAAUAAAGUACAGGGGAAAAAAACCCCCACUUAUAAUCCCACUUAGACAAGUUAAGCACUGUUAGUGCUUUGGGGUGGAUAUAUGCUUUCCUGCUGCAAUAUUGCUUAUACAUGGUGGACAUAAUUCCUAAGGAUCAAUGCUCAUCUAAGUUAGAUUUGAGUGCUUUAUAGGUUUUUUUUUUUUUUUUAAUUGCUGAAGAAUUCAGAGAACUUUAUCAGUACUCUUUGACUUAAGGGUAGGGGGACCAUUGGCCAGGGCAGAAAGUUGAAAUGGAUGAUCAUUGAUCUAUGAAAUGUUACUUUAGUGAUAAUUUGAAAGUGGAGAUUUGACUUUAUCUAUCUAACCCAAAAACCCUGAGCAAAAAGAAAAAAAAAAUUCAGUUCAAAAUUGGGAUGUUUGAUCUUUAUUGCCCAAUAGGUGGUUAUUUGGAAAACUUCCAUUGACAUGUUUGGGAAUAUUCAGUAGUUGAUCACACAGACAAAAUGUUAGAAUGAUUAAUUAAAUAUUUGCUUUUCCUCUUCAGUUGAGGCACUGUUUACAUCCAGUGCUAUUUGAAUCAAUAUAAGAAUUUUCCACUGCCUCUAGAUGAGGUUAGGAAGAAGGGGCUGUAGAGGAAAGGGAGGUUCUUCCUCUAUGUUUAGCCAUUUGCAAUCCACGCUUCUCCACAUCACUGGUCACUGCCAUUGAUCCUUCUCACAUUGACCAUUUGUCAGCCUUCUGUCCUUGAGUUUAUCUAUAGGCCAUUCUGUCCUUUGACUAAUUUCUUAGUGUGAAGCUCAGAUUGUGUCCCUCUUUGAUAGUUUUCCAUUGAAGAGUUUUAUGCUGCUCAUAGAAUAUCCCAUCUUGUACUGUGACAUUCAAAGGUUUCCAAAGUCUGUCUUUAUUGGUCUUUUCCAAAUUCAUUUAUUUACCCUAUGUAUUCCAGAGCACCUGUUCUAAGUACUGGAGACAAACAGUGAGCAUGACUUAGUUUUGUUUCUUACUGUUUCUCUUAGGUCCUCACAAACUCGAAGGCUUUGUUCUCUGACCCUGGCACCUACCAUUCUCUCUGGCUGCUAUGCUCUGUUUUCAAAUCUUUUGGUUAAAAUCCCAGAGAACUCAGUUUAAACUCCACGUUCUCCAGGAAGCUGGCUGUGAUCCUUCUGGCCAGAAGUCUUCUUUCCUUCUUCUGAGCUCCCUUACAUGCCAGUGUCUUCCUCUCUUUGGCGAUGGACUACAUUUUACCUUAUGAUAGUCUUUUCUGAGUAUGUAUCAUCUCUCCUGUCAACCAGUAAGCUCUUUAAGAGCAAAAAUACCUCCCAUUUAUCUUUAUUUUUUCUCUUCCUAGAGGGUGGUAAAACACAGUGUUAAAGAGUUUGGGGCAAUAUGGUCAGAUAAAUCUGGACCUAAAUCUUGACUCUACCAGUUUAUCAGCUACUCAAUUUCCUCAUCUGUAAAAUGGGAAUAAUAGUUUCUCAGAGAUUUGCUUUGUAAGAAUUAGAUGAGAUAAUCUAUGUGCAGUGAUGAACACUAUUCCUGACACAAAUGUUUUUCACAAAAUUUGCAACAUAGGCUCUCAGUGUAUGUUUGCCAAGUGACUGAAUUAGCAAUUGAUCUCUUAAGUAGUUCAGAAUCAGUACUCCUUGUAUACUGAAAUGAAUCUUUCUGUAUUCAUCUUUGUCAUAAAGUAUUGUUUGGAAAGUUGAAUUAUCUGAAAUCUUCUUUCUUCAUUUUUACCUUCUUUAAAUAGACUAUCCAGCUAUAUCCUUUCUCACACGUUCCCCUUGUGUUUGGAUAUUAAUAGUAAAACCAAUGCUAAGUGGUAAACUAUGAAAUGAAUAUGAGCAGCCAACAUCUUCAUAGGAUUUUUAAAAAGAUCAUCUGAUACCAGUGAUUUUGCCUGCAUUUCCCUUGGGAAGAGAACUCAGCCUGAGGAAGGACACGGCUCUUCUGAAGCCCAGAGAUGGGGCUUCAGGCAGAAAUAGACACAGGUUUCCUGGUGCAACCUAGUUUCACUAUGAAGCUGAGCAAAAACACCUUCUUCCAAUUUGUUCUCUUUUGAAAGGCAAGAGGGCUGUGUUAAAAAUAUUCAAUGACUUUUACCAGUGGGGGAAGAAGUCUGAUUCUGUGUCCUGUGAACACAGGAUAGGGUUAUGGUGUUGAAAUGAUGACAGUGGUAGUUUCUGCAUCAAGUUAAUAGAAAUGACCGUGUGACCAAAACCUGGACGAGAUGUCAUUGUGGGAACAGGUUGGGUGAGGAUGCAAUCCAGGUCCUUAGUUUAAAAUGAGAAGAGAUAAAGGGACCAAAGUCACGUGCUGCCAGCAAAGGGCAGUACAGUGUGGUUGUCGAGGGCACAUGGCUGGCAGCCAGACCGUUGCAUCAAGCCAGCCCUGCCCUCUGUCAGCUAUGGAUCCCUGGGUAGUGACUUACCCUCUCUGGAUCUUGGGUUCCUUCUGUGUAAAAAAGGGGGGUAAUAGUACUUAUUUCACAAGGGUGGAAUGAGGAUGAAGUCACUUAAUGUAUGUAAAGCAUUUAGAACUUAGGCCGGCCCAUGGUGAUUAUUCAGUAUAUAUUAGCUGUUUUUAGUGGUAGAAGAGGGGAAUGAGCCUGGCACUGUUCCCCUCUGAAGGAGAAGAUAAGUCAUCAUUGGUGCAGAGAGAAUUGCUAUUUGUGGACUAUGUGGAGGCAAUGGACCCAGGUAGCCUGAGGGGUUGGGAGGGAUGGGUUGGAGUUGGUCCUUUAAAUGGGUAGAGAGCUUGAGUUCCCAUCAUGAUGCAGCAGAAACAAAUCCAACUAGGAACCAUGAGGUUAUGGGUUUGAUCCCUGGCCUCACUUGGUGGGUUAAGGAUCCAGCGUUGCCAUGAGCUGUGGUGUAGGUCACAGAUAUGGCUCAGAUCUGGCGUUACUGUGGCUCUGGUGUAGGCUGGCAGCUACAGCUCCGAUUAGACCCCUA
rnacentral:lncRNA from 1 species